CUGCCCUUCUCGUAUCUCUCUUUGCUUCCUCUUUCAUUAUUAAUUUCUCGUAAAAGAGAUUUUACGAAGUCUGCAGUCUACAAGUUUCAUUAGUCUAUGACACAAUGCGGCGGUUCAAAUCUCUCAUACAUAUAUCUAUAUAGUGAAAGAUGCUGAGUGAAUACGAAGCGUAAACGUCAUACCUCGCACCGGAAGUAAUCCAUGUAAACGCAUAUUGUGCAAACGAUACCUACACAUGAUAAAUGAAACGUAUUUUUUUAUCGUAUAAUAUCAUCAAUACAGCAUAUCAUUACGCAGGACAGAGUGUAAAUAUAUAAUAUUAGCAAAAUGAAUGGAAUAAUACCUGAAAUGGAACAAAUUAUUAGUCAACUAGAGAGAGGUACUGUAGUGACCAAAUUUUUUCCAAGAAAGCGACCAGAAAAGAAAACUCUCAUGAUACGAAGAGAAACUAGACAAAUUGUUUGGUCGAGGAGUGCAACAUUUAGACCUUUUGAUGGUUCAGUGGAAAUAAGAGAAGUUAAAGAAGUUAGAAUAGGUAAACAAUCUAAAGACUUUGAAAAAUGGCCUGAAGAUGCUAAAAGAAUUGAGAAUUUAAGGUGCUUUGUUGUGUAUUAUGGAUCAGAAUUUAGACUGAAAACUCUUUCUAUAUCUGCUCUUAGCGAAAAAGAAUGUGAACUGUGGAUUAAGGGAUUGCGUUACUUGGUACAAGACACUAUAAAUGCACCAUAUCCUUUACAAGUUGAAAGAUGGCUUAGAAAAGAGUUUUAUGCAAUGGAAAAUUCCCGUGAAACGGUCACAUUGAAGGAUGUGAAAGCAUUUCUGCCUAGAGUUAAUUGCAAAAUUGCAACAAAUAGAUUGAGGGAACUUUUUCAAGAAGUGGACACAAGAAAUCGAAACGAACUUGGAUUUGAUGAUUUUGUUAUCCUAUACCAUAAAUUAAUGUUUGAUCAGAAUAAUCUUGCAGAUUGGCACAAACUAUUGAAUUAUUCCCAAAUUGAACCAACUGUCACACUUCAAGAAUUCCAGAAUUUUUUAGUAACUGAACAGCAAGAUAAUUUGGGAAAUAAUGAAUUAGAGAUAUCUCGUUUUAUUAGGGAAUAUUUACAAGAUUCUCAAAGGGACAUACAAGAACCAUAUUUUACUUUCUCAGAAUUUAUAGAUUUCUUAUUUUCUAAGCAAAAUGAUAUCUGGAAUCAAAAAUUUAAUCAAGUUUCUCAAGAUAUGGCUCGACCUCUUGCACAUUAUUGGAUAGCAUCAUCGCAUAACACAUACUUGAUGGGAGAUCAAAUUAGCAGCGAAAGUAGCUGUCAGGCCUAUGUGCGUGCGCUAAGAGCAGGGUGCAGAUGUAUAGAACUUGAUUGUUGGGAUGGUCCAGAUGGAAUGCCGUUUAUAUUUCAUGGACAUACCCUCACCACUAAAAUUAAAUUUUUAGAUGUUAUUAAAACUAUUAAGGAACAUGCUUUUACUACAUCUGAGUAUCCUGUUAUUUUAUCUAUCGAGGAUAAUUGUACUUUACCGCAACAACGUAAAAUGGCAAUGACUAUGCAAGAGGUCUUUGGUGAUAUGUUAUUAAUUCAACCUGUUGACAAAAAUGAAAUUUGCCUACCUUCCCCAUACUCGUUGCGCAGAAAAAUUUUAUUAAAACACAAGAAGCUUCCUGAUGGGGUCGACGAAUCAUCAUUUCUUGUGCGGAAUGAUGAAAGCAGACAGGAGAUGGAUCUUAGGAAUACUAUAAAAAAUGGAAUACUUUAUUUGGAAGAUCCUAUUGAUAGAGAAUGGAAUCCUCAUUUUUUCGUACUGACACAACAGAAGCUAUUUUAUACAGAUACAUUUUCAAGAGUACAAGAAACGGAACAUGAUGAUGAUGAAGAAAGCAAUAUUCGGAGAUCGUCAGAUGGCGCGCCGAAUGACGAAUUGCACUUUGGCGAAAAAUGGUUUCAUGGAAAAUUAGCGAGAGGAAGAGAGGAAGCUGAAGAAUUAUUACGACACUAUUCCUAUCUUGGAGAUGGUACUUUUCUCGUACGACAAUGUGUUACAUUUGUAGGUGACUAUUGUUUAUCAUUUUGGCGUAAAGGAAAAGUGAACCAUUGCCGCAUUAAGCUGAAACAAGAAAUGGGUCAAACGCAAUAUUAUCUCAUCGAUACUAAUUGUUUUGAUAGCUUAUACAGUUUAAUUACUCAUUACCGUAAUCAUCCACUUAGAAGUCAAGAAUUUUUAAUCACUCUGCAAGAUCCAGUGCCACAACCAAACAAACAUGAGGAGAAAGAAUGGUGGCAUCCUGAAUGUACUCGAAUUGCGGCAGAAGAAAUGUUGAAACGUAUACCUAUGGAUGGCGCAUUCUUAGUGAGACCCAGUGAAAGAGAAAGUAAUUGCUAUGCAAUUUCGUUUAGAGCGGAAAAGAAAAUAAAGCAUUGUAAAAUAAAACUUGAAGGCAGACUCUAUACUACUGGAACUGUACAGUUUGAAAGCUUAGUUGAGUUAAUCAAUUAUUAUGAACGACAUCCACUGUAUAAAAAGAUUAAAUUGAGCCAUCCUAUUAAUCAAGAUAUUAUCAGAAGAAUGGGAUUGGACAACGAUGAUGGAUCUGUUUAUGGUAUCCCAGGUUAUAUAGAUCCUACAAGCUUUACAUCAAAAGUUACAGUUAAGGCUAUUUAUGAUUAUAAAGCUAAAAGAGAAGAUGAAUUGACAUUAGUCAAGCAUGCUAUAAUUACUAAUGUCAAUGUGCAACCUGGAGGAUGGUGGAGGGGUGAUUAUGGUGGUAAAAAGCAACAUUGGUUUCCUGCUAAUUAUGUAGAAGAAAUCGAUGAACAAGAAAAUCAGGGAGAUUCAGCUGAUUCCAUGAUGCUUGGUAGUUUGCAAAAAGGUUCAUUAGAUAUCAUGGGUGCUGUAGUAGAACUAACAGUCGGGGAAAGAUUAGGUUUGGAAUGGAUUUUAAGAAUACAAAAUCCUAGUAUGUGUUCAGUAUUUGAAGUUGCUACGCCAUCUAAAGAUACUGCAUUAGAAUGGAUGUCAAGUAUCAAAGAGACUGCACAAAAUGCAAGUGUUAGGGAAAGUCAGCAUAAGGAAAUGGAGAGAGCAUGGAGAAUAGCCAAGGAGAUGUCUAAUCUUAUAGUAUAUUGUAGAUCUGUUGCAUUCAACAUAGAAAGAAUAAGAACUAAGGGAUUUACAUUCAAUGAAAUGAGUAGUUUCCCGGAAACAAAGGCUGAAAAAUUAAUGUGUCAACAAGAAAACAAAUUUUUUAUAAAAUAUCAUCAGAUUCAAUUUAGCAGAGUUUAUCCAAAAGGACAACGUAUCGAUUCAUCUAAUUAUAAUCCUGUACCAAUGUGGAAUGCUGGUUGUCAGAUGGUAGCUUUAAAUUACCAGACUGGAGACAAAUCGAUGCAAUUAAAUCAGGCUAAAUUUAAAGAGAAUGGCAAUUGUGGUUAUUUACUAAAACCAGAAUUUAUGUUUAGACAAGACUUUAAUCAAUAUGAUAAAAAUACAUUAUAUGGAGUCGAACCACUUAAAAUCAGUUUGAAAAUUAUUGGAGCCAGACAUUUAAUGAAAGCAGGAAGGGGCACUGCCAGUCCAUCUGUCGAAGUCGAAAUAAUUGGUGCAGAUUUUGACUUCGGAACGAAAUUAACAACAAAGACAAUACCGGAUAAUGGAUUUAAUCCAAUGUGGAAUGAAUCGUGUGAAUUUGAGAUAUUCAAUCCAUAUUUUGCUCUUAUACGAUUUUUAGUGCAAGAUGAAGAUAUGUUUGGUGAUAGUAAUUUCAUAGGACAAGCUACUUAUCCAGUGCGCUGUUUAAGAACAGGAUAUAGAAGCGUUCCAUUAAAAAACAUAUAUAGCGAAGAUCUUGAACUUGCUUCCUUAUUAGUACAUAUUAAAAUUGUAACAUUGACCAGAAAUUCCAUUUAAAAAAUUGCUAUAUUGAUAAAAAUUUAUAUAUUAAAAUUUAGUCUCUUAUUGAGAUUUCUUGUUCAAUAUAGCCACACAUAAUGCAUAAAAUAAGUUGACAAAAAGCAAAAUCUGCAUUAUAAAAUAUUUAAUGUACAGAUUGAUUAUACCAAAUAGCAUAUGUGUAAUACAAAAAAAUUACCAUGAAUAUGUUACAAUAUAGUAUACAAUGAUACAAAAAUAGCAUAUGUUAGAUAAAACAUAUCGUUAGAAGACUGUAUAUAUUUAUAUUAAAUUUUAACAAAUUUUAGCUAUAUAGAUUAUUA